GCUUUGGUCUCUCUGGGAGUGAGUUGAGGUGUUGAGGCAGCCAGGGCUGGCCUGUACACUGACUUGAGACCAUUUUAAUAAAAGUGCACACCUUACCAAAAAAAAAAAUCUAGAUGACAAGUAGUCUAAGAAUACCUGCUUUACAAUAUUGGAAUAAAUGAGUGAAAGUUGGACAUAGUUGUGCACACCUUCAGACCAGCACUUGGGAGGUGGAGGCAGAAGAACAGGACUUCAAAGUUACUAGGCUUCAUAGUAAAUUUGAGGCCAACCUGGGCUACAAACAUGAAAACUUGUCUCGAUAUGGAUGGGGGGUGGAUUUUAACCAUCAAGUGUGUCUCCUUUGUUCCUCUUUGUUACUAAACCAUGACUUCCAACUACAUAAACAUGAGCAUGAAGCAGAGCCCGUUAUGUUCAUCCACAGUAGAGUAGUUCACAGAGCUAGCAUAAUCAUUGAACACUGAAAAAAGUAUUAAGAAAACAUUGUAUCCUUAAGGUGUGAAGAAAAAUAGUAACACAAAUUAUUGUCAUUGGAAAUUAAUACAUUUUACUAACUAGUUGAUUGGGCAAUUAAAAAAUACUAAAAGUAUAAGCUAACAUUAAAAAAUAUGUAACUCUCACUGCUGAUCAUUAACCAACCUGUAAUGACAGGAAGCCUAGUUGGUAAGUGCCAAAAGUAGUUUCACAUUGUAUUAGGGCAUCAGGUGGUCUCUUCAAGUGUGUUUUAUUAGAAGCCAACUGUAUGCUCAGAGUAGUUGUGUGUAGGUUUCUUGUAUAUAUUAUUUUAGUAGAAUAUAUUAGUAGGUUCUAGGGUAAUUCAGGGUUUGUAUGUGUGUGUAUCACGCCAUGAAACACAAGAGUUUCGUGGCUGCAGUUGUGAAACGCUGCUAUAGUGAGUCCCCUUACCUUUCCCUCGGAAUAGUGUAGUAAGAUUAUUUUUUUUUUUCUUUUUGAUUUAGGAAUUUUCUUCCUGUGUUUAUAGAAGUGAUGUUUCUACUGCUAAUGUAAUUGUAUGAUAGAACAUAUAAAGUCUUUGUUUAUUUCGCCAAGUAAGCAUCUGUAAGCUGCAGAUUGCAAGGUUGGGAAAAGCAAAGAUGACUUGUAAAUGCUUUGUAAUUAGAUCAUUUAGUUAAGCAACACUGAACAUUUUCUUGGAAAAUGCUCAAAUUGAUGGGACCACAUUCUUCUGGAUUAAAUACUUGUACUUUCUUGACUGAUAGUCAUCUUGACUUAAGUAGUUUGAGUAGCCUUUUAGGAAUUACUUGUAAAUAGCCUUGUAAAUAGAGCAUUUAACCAUAUGUACCCUUCCUAGCCUCCCAGAAAGCAAGUGUAUCGUUUCUUCUUUUAUAGUUGUAAAUAAUCCAGCCAGAGGUAGUUUCUAGCCUGUGCCAUAUAGAUGUUUCCUACGGUGUUCUCUCAACAAAGUGUUUAUUGUGGUUCUUUAUGUGUAUAGCUAAAGUCUAUGUGCAGUGUGCUGGGUCAGCGUGGUGGGGAUGCUGGGGAUAGGUACAGAGCCUGGUGCGUGUUAGGCAAGCUACAGUUCAUGCCUGGCACAGGUCGCUUGUAAUGAAAUCUGCAGUUAGCUUUUAUAUUUUUUAGAACUCAUCUUAGACCCUAUCUUUUACGGAAGUUGCUAGUGAUUUCUUAAUUUUUUUCUUUCUUUUUCAUAUUUUUUUAAACUAAUGAUUAGAUGUCAGCUUAGUGUAAUAGGAAUUGGCCAUCUGGAAGCUGAUCAUCUUCUGAAGUCAGCAGAUGAUCAUUUAAGACUGUUAAAUGCUAUUUGGCCUCAUUAGUUAUGAGUUGCAUGUGUAUCUAAUGAAUGCUUAGAGUUUCAGAAUCCGCAAUUUUUAUUAUACAGUUAUUUUCUUUUCCUUUUUUUUUCUUUCUUUUUUUUUUUUUUUUUUUGGUUUUUCGAAACAGGGUUUCUCUGUGUAGUCCUGGCUGUCCUGGAACUCACUCUGUAGACCAGGCUGGCCUCGAACUCAGAGAUCCACCUGCCUCUGCCUCCCAAGUGCUGGGAUUAAAGGCGUGCGCCACCACCGCCCAGCCAUUAUUUUAUUCUCUGAGACAGGGCCUGGCUGUGUAGCCCAGGCUAGCCUUGAACUUCUUAUGGUAACUCUUGUCUCAGCUUCCCAGCUGCUGGGAAUACCACAUACCCUGCUUUAAAUGUUUUACUUUAAAAUGUGCCAAAGGUGCCUCUUGGUCUAAAAAUCUUGAUAUUAAAUGUUAUUGCCAAUAUUAAAAAUAAGCGUUCAUUAUAAAUUGUACUUGAAAUAUAUGACAUUUUGGGGUGAUGUAAAUAAAAGUAGAGCUCAACCCUUAGUAGUGCAGCACGUCCCUGAGACCAGUUCUAAGAGACGCUGAAAUAUUGGGUUUAAAUGAAGAAUCAAGAAGAGGCUGUUGGCUGGAAUGUUAGAUGAAACAAAUCUUUUAAAAUCAACAUGGGGUAGGGAAAGAGAAAUCAUAGGUACCCAGGCAAAUCCCUGAGCCAGUAAGGCCCUGUAGAGUAAUAAUGAAUUGUUACCUUAAAAUCUUAUCACUAACUUUAUUAGUAUUAUUAAUUAUUACGUUGGUUCCUACUGCUGGGAAGCUGUUCACAUCGCUCCUUAUACAGGAGCCAGCAAGCUGUAGGCUUUCUUCAGCCUUGCUCUUCCCAGCUCUGGAGAGUCCCUCCCUGACCUGGUGGUUAUAAUACAGCAGGCGGCCUUGGUUAAUGUUUACCUUUUCAUUGUGUUUUUGAAAACUACAAAUCAAGUAUUUAGUAGUAGCUAUUUACAAAUGUGUUUGCAUUCGAGUGCUUGUAGAUACAACUUUACAUGUAAACAUGUGUAACAUUAUUUAGCUACAUUGAGUUUGUAAGUGCCUUUACCUAAAUGAUUUGCCUUUCAUCAAAAAGUAGACAUUCUAUUAUAAGUAUUGCUCUUUGUUUAGUGCAAAAUACGGAGUUCUUAAGUUAGACUGGGCAUGUAACACAGUGAAGGUGCUGUGUAGGCUUUUAGGCGGCAUGACCUUUAGCGCAUAGUUCUAUGCCAGUGCUUAAAUAGAAGUGUUUAUUUAUCCUUCACUAGUUAUACAUUAGGCAUAUAAUGUUAUGUGACAUUAACUCAGUAAUGUGUGGUUUUAUAUUUCUGACAUAGUGUGAUCUUUUUAAUAGUACCGUAGGUAUCGUGUCCUUUGUGAUCUUCCAUUUAGCCCUUAGUGUGGGAAAGAAAGUAUAUGGUAAAUUGUUGGCAAUAGCUAUAUGAUGCGUAUUUGACUUGAGGGAGAAAGACUGCUCCUGAGAGGUUCCUCUGCCCACAACAGAUGUAGGAAAUCUUCAUCAUGCUGUGCCAGGAAGAUCAGAGCCCUCCAGAAUCAAGGAUGGAGCCCUACCACUACCACCCCACCCCCCAGUCAAACGGUGUAUCUUUUACCUAGAAUUUUAUUUAAAAUGUAUUUGCUACCACAAAGGAUAAGAGAAGUUCCAUCCUCUUAUGAAAACAUUGUUACUGAGGUCUAGCGAGUUUCAGCAACAGUUUUCCUAUAGGUUGAAAAGGGGGUCGUUUAAUAGGAAUAAAAACCUCCAUUCUUUUUAUAUUUUUUGUGAUCUGUAUUUACAAAGGAUUGAAGUAAGCAUUCCACUAACUCACAGAGUUGAACAUUUAGAAGGCAGUUUUAUGGUUGCUGUCAGGCUUUUACUUUAGUCAGUCUCAAUGAGUGACAUAAUAUGCAGUCUCAUGUAUGUAUUGAAUUUAGUGGCUUAAUGAAGGCUAUUUACAUGCAGAAAGCUAUCUGCAUUCAUCAUAAUAUACUUGAUUCUUUCAGCCAUAAAUAAAUUGAAUAUAACUGUAUUAUUUAAAACUCUAGCUGGAGGAGUCUUAGAUGAGUUGGCAUUGCUGUUUGCUGGCAUUGGAGCAGUAGCUAAGUUGGUUGGUUUUGUGUACGAGGAUGGUUAAGAGAGUCACUGAGCACAGUUUACAUGGUCAGCACUGCUGUUGUGAGAAACAGUGUUAACUCACUUGUCACUUUCUGUCAUGUCUAGACUUGUGUUGAGAUGUGUCACAUUCUCAGCCUACUUUGUGUGAUAAGCAAAAACAUAAUGGGAAAAGCUUUUAACAGGUCUUAGCUUUUUAAAAUUGGGGGUUUCAAAAACAACAAGAGAUGCUGAAAAGAUGUUACCUUUUACUUUGGUCAGAUCAUUACGUAUGCUCUGACAUCUUAAUUUUCUAUACUUAAAGUCUGUAUUAGAAAUAUCUGUAUAAGUAUAUACAUAAUUAAAAUGUAGCUCAGAAAUAUGAUUCAACAGUGGAGUUUUUUUUUUCUGGAAAAAAUAUAGUCCUAUUGUAUCAGAUUUAUUUUACUUUAUUAUGGCUAAUAUUCUAAAAAGAAUGUUUAAGCUAUUUUAAAUUCUUGUGCCUCUUCCCCCAAAGGAUAUUUAAAAAUAUGAUCUUAUAUUAACUUUAUAUUCUUUCUUCAUAAAUUUUGCCUUAAACAUUGUGCCUUGUUUUAUUAGAAUCUAAUUCUGGCUUUUGUAACAACAUUUUAUUUUAAACAGACAUUUACUUUUAAAAAAUCCUUAUAAUGCUUGUAUUUGCUAUAUCACUGCUUAUCUGUUUAUUGAAUUUAUUGAAUACACAACUCCAAACACUAAGCGUGUUUUAGCAUUUAUUGUAUGUACUAGAUAAAAGAGAAAAUAAAG
rnacentral:lncRNA from 1 species